UUUCCCAGAAAGUGAAAACACAGCAGUUCGAUCACAAUAAAAUCGUAUCACGAUAAUCGUAUCAGGAUAGAAAUGAUGAAAUAAUGAUGAAAAACAGGCUAAACCUAAAGUAGACAUUUGCAAUGCUUGCGUUAUUUUCGUGUUGUAGUGUAGCCUAUUAUGCUUAGGGCUGUCAAGCGAUUAAAAAAAUGAUCUUAUUAAUUACAUGCGUUGUGAUUAAUUCAUCUAAAUUAAUGAACAAGGAGUAUGCUAAUGUGAUUACUUCAUCUAAAUUAAUCACAUGUGUCAAUUUGCCAUGAGAAGCAUUUAAAAUCCGAUUUAAAUCCGUCAUAUUUGCCAUUGACAUGAAGUUUCAAAGAAGCUCGGCAGUUUAAUGUUCACCACACAUUAAUGGCAACAAACAACAGAUACUUCAAUGAACUUUAUUUAAUGAAGAACACAUUGUUUUGUAUUCCUGAUUAAACAACCUCAUAGUUUGUCUAAAACUAGUGCGUUAACUAACGUCAGACAAAUUGUACACGUUUUUUAACGUUAAGCACUGAUCAAAUCUUGUUAGCUUGCAAACUUAUGUAAACAAACCCGUGCCUUAUGACUUUGCUUUGCCAUUGCCAUGCAAUAUUUUUUUAUAUAGUAGAGUAGAGAGAGAAUCCACCAUAGAGUGCGAUUCAUCUGUAUACACGUUUUUUAACGAGUACGAAUACUGCAUAGAUUUGUCUGUAAUCACUUAAUCGAAAUUAAAGCGUUAUUUAAAAAUGGUUUGUUGACAUUAAUAUGUGGUGAACAUCACCUGCCAAAGCUUGUUUAGCCUACUCUGUCACUCCACGCCAGUGGCAAAUCUGACGGAUUUUAAAUGCUUCUCAUGGCAAACUGAUAUAUGCAAUUAAUUUAUCUUAAGUAAUCACAACGCAUUUAUUUGUAUCGCUUGACAGCCCUAUGCACAAUAGGCUAGAGUACAACACGAAAAGAACGCAACCAUUUCACAGAUGUUUACACCUUCACCUAUGUAGAGUGACAUGGGUUAGUUUAGCCCAUGUGCGAUGUGUAAUGGAUUGUCUUUGACAGCUCUGUAUCGUCUUUUGCUGUUCAGGUUUCAGCCACUUACUGCAGCCUGCUGCACCACAUAAAGCAUUAGCCUAUCCGUGCAUUAGAGCUAGCAUACUCCUUGUGAAACAUUAAAGGACUGGGGAGAUCUGCUGAAGUCUGAAUCGUCAGUUCUCUCAUAGUCAUAAUCUCAUAAUCACCAUAUUGCUUCCACACACCAAACAA
rnacentral:lncRNA from 1 species